UUUCUUCUUCUUCUUUAUUCUUUUUCUUUCUUCUUCUUCAGUUUCUUCUCUUCUUUUGUUCUUCUUUUCUGCGAGAGAUUUAUCGUUUGAGAGUGAGGUUGUAAAUCAGUUCGACAGAUCAAAUGGAAUAUUUAUGAUCGGUAGAAGGUGGAACAGAUCAUGGGGUAGCUGUUGGUGAUGGUGUUGAUGUUGAUUAAACUCGGGAAAGGAAGGAGUGGAUGCUGAUGUAAGUUAAGAGUUAGGGUUUCUCGGAUAAUUGUUUAGAAGUUUGAUUAGUGGUGAAUAAGGUCAGAACAAAGAAGGGUUGAAGUUUAAUUAAAUCUUUGUAGCUGUUUUGGAGAUGAUCUGAGAAUUAGGGUUGUGUUCAGUUCUUCCCCAAAUUAAUAAUUAGGGUUUGGAGGUCGGUUGAAGCUUCGAAUUAGUGAUUGAAAAUAAGAAAGUAUAGACUGGGUAUGGUGUUAUAAUGGUUGAAUUGAAGUUUGAUUUUGUUUCAGAGAAGAAGAGUAAUUGAGGAAUCGAGAAUUAGGUUCUGUUCUUGAGGACUUUUAGAUAAGGAGAAAUUAGAAGAUGAAAUUGUGAUGAUUUCGGAGUCAGGUCAGAGUAAAGAGGAAUCUAAUUCAAUUGCUUGAGUUGGACUGGUUUGAGGUAAUUAUUCUUCUCAAUUGAAUCAGUACAGUUAAUUAUGUAUGUUUUCAAGACUAUGUGGUUGUUGAUGAACCAGAAUGGAGAUGAGUAUUUAAGAUAUUGUAGAUUGUGUUGAAUUUUAGGAGGAUGGUUUGUGAUAGAAUGAUACAGGAAAUGGGGUUUUCGAACUGAUGUUAAUGUGAACUCUCAGAUUGAGUCGAUGGAGUGAGAUAAUGAUGGGAUUACAAUUAUGUUUGGUUGUUGCAGGUGGUGAUGUUGUUGUUGUUACAGGAAAAUAGGCUGAGAAGAUACAGGCAGUGGUGAAUGGUGUUAGGGAUGAAAGAUUGUUGUUAAGCUGAUAAUUUGUUGUUAGUGUAGGUCUGUUGAGUUGAGGUUUAAAUGAGUUGAGCUUGGGGGAUUGUAUGAGUUGUGCAGGUGCAAGUGGAAAAUGAAUAGAAAUUGUGUUGAAGCUGAGAUUAAGCUUAGUUUAGAUGAAUGUUUGGAGUUUUGCAGAGGGAAUGAGUUUUGCCAGUGGGUUGAGGCUGUGGUGUUACAACUGGAAUUAGAAUCAAGAGUGUUGCUUAACUGGUUGUAUUGGUUUGAGUCUGAUGAAUUACAAUUGCAAGGAUGUGAAGUUGGAGGUACUGUUAGUGCUGAAUUUUGUAGGUGGUUGUGUUGAGGAUUGAAUGGCAGGAACGAAUGUGUUGUUGGUGUUAUGUGAGUUGUUGAAAUUUGGAUGUGCAGGUUGUGGUUGUAAUGGAUCUGAGUUAGGUUAUGUUGAGGUAUAUAGAGUAUUGGGUUACAAGUUGAGUUAUGGUUGAGUUAUAAGUUAGACCUGCAGGUGGCUAUCGUUGAGUUUCGGUGAUGAUUAUAGAGUUGCAAUUAGUAUUUGUUGUAAAAGCUUGGAACUGCAUUUGCAGUGCUAUUAACAACGAUCGAUUCAAAGGAUGAACCAGUGGAUCGUGGAUCUCGAGGUAGGCGUGGCUUGUCAUCAAAAGAGUUUCAGAGACAGAUCAGAGCUGCGCAGCGGAAGCUUCGAGGAGUUGACUUCGUUAAUUAGUUAGCUUCUGCUAUAUUUACUAUGUUUGCAAACCAAAUGACUAUUGUAUAUGUAUCAUUUGAGAGAAGUUCUUGUAUAUGUAUAUUUAUGAG